GUGCUCACUUUGGCAGCACGUAUACUAUAAUUAGAAUGAUAGAGAGAAUAUUAGCAUGGCCCCUGCAUAAGGAUGACAAAUUUGUGAAGCAUUCCAUGUUUAA